rnacentral:rRNA from 1 species
UACGGGGGGGGCAAGCGUUGUUCGGAAUUACUGGGCGUAAAGGGCUCGUAGGCGGCCAACUAAGUCAGACGUGAAAUCCCUCGGCUUAACCGGGGAACUGCGUCUGAUACUGGAUGGCUUGAAUCCGGGAGAGGGAUGCGGAAUUCCAGGUGUAGCGGUGAAAUGCGUAGAUAUCGGGAGGAACACCAGUGGCGAAGGCGGCGAUCUGGGUUGAUACUGACGCUGAGGUGCGAAAGCGUGGGGAGCAAACAGG